rnacentral:rRNA from 1 species
GCCAUCGGCCAUACCAUGCUGAAUACGCCGGUUCUCGUCCGAUCACCGAAGCUAAGCAGCAUCGGGCUCCGUCAGUACUUGGGAGGGGACCGGAGUGCUGAUGGCA